rnacentral:rRNA from 1 species
CUAACACAUGCAAGUCGAACGUGAUCCGCCCUUCGGGGUGGUGAAAGUGGCGCACGGGUGAGUAACGCGUGGAUAAUCUGCCCGAGGAUUUGGGAUAACAUCUCGAAAGGGGUGCUAAUACCGAAUAAGCCCACGGGGUCUACGGAUCUUGCGGGAAAAGGGGGGGACCUUCGGGCCUCCUGUCCUUGGAUGAGUCUGCGUACCAUUAGCUAGUUGGUGGGGUAAUGGCCUACCAAGGCGACGAUGGUUAGCUGGUCUGAGAGGAUGAUCAGCCACACUGGAACUGAGACACGGUCCAGACUCCUACGGGAGGCAGCAGUGGGGAAUUUUGCGCAAUGGGGGAAACCCUGACGCAGCAACGCCGCGUGGGUGAUGAAGGCCUUCGGGUCGUAAAGCUCUGUCUGGAGGGAAGAAAUGAUUGGGAGCUAAUACCUCUUGAUCUUGACGGUACCUCUGAAGGAAGCACCGGCUAACUCCGUGCCAGCAGCCGCGGUAAUACGGAGGGUGCAAGCGUUGUUCGGAAUUAUUGGGCGUAAAGCGCGUGUAGGCGGUCUUUUAAGUCUGAUGUGAAAGCCCCGGGCUCAACCUGGGAAGUGCAUUGGAAACUGGGAGGCUUGAGUACGGGAGAGGAGAGUGGAAUUCCUAGUGUAGGAGUGAAAUCCGUAGAUAUUAGGAGGAACACCAGUGGCGAAGGCGGCUC